UACGAAGGGUGCAAGCGUUACUCGGAAUUACUGGGCGUAAAGCGUGCGUAGGUGGUUUCUUAAGUCUGCUGUGAAAGCCCCGGGCUCAACCUGGGAAUUGCAGUGGAUACUGGGGAGCUAGAGUGCGGUAGAGGGUAGUGGAAUCCCCGGUGUAGCGGUGAAAUGCGUAGAGAUCGGGAGGAACACCAGUGGCGAAGGCGGCUACCUGGACCAGCACUGACACUGAGGCACGAAAGCGUGGGGAGCGAACAGG
rnacentral:rRNA from 1 species